GGGAUGAUAUGGAGGAGGUGAAGGAGAUGGUGGAGGUGGAGGUGGAGUCUUGUAGAUAUAAGGAGGUGGCGGUGAAGGCGAAGGAGGUGGUGGUGACUUAAAGACAUAAGGUGGAGGAGGUGAAGGAGAUGGUGGAGGUGGAGGUGGAGUCUUGUAGAUAUAAGGAGGUGGCGGUGAAGGCGAAGGAGGUGGUGGUGACUUAAAGACAUAAGGUGGAGGAGGUGAAGGAGAUGGUGGGGGUGGAGAUUUGUAAACAUACGGUGGUGGUGGUGGUGGUGAUGGAGAUGGUGGAGGUGGGGUCUUGUAGUAAUAUGGAGGUGGUUUGAAAUAAUAUGGUGGCUGCUGGCCAUGACUUGGUGGUGUUAGUUGUGGAUAGUUGUUGUUUGGCAUAGUAAGGCUUAUAAUCAUCAGCAACAACAAUACUUGCAAUUACGCAUAGUGCCUCAACCCUACUGAAGUUCCCAUCUUCUCUAAAUGUGCGUAUUCUUGUGAAAACGUGUUAGAGCUGAGGUUGUUCUGUUUUUAUCCUUUGGCUUUUAGAGAGAACUGGCAAGCAUGAUUGAGAACAUCAAGUGUGAAACAAUUGAUAAAGUCAAAUUAAUUCAAAACUUGCCACAACUAUAUAAUAUUCCAAUUCCAAUGGAAUGAAAUAUAAUUAAAAAGUAUUGUAUACAAACUUCAUGUACAUUUUGCUUAUGCGAUGUGAUAUAUAUGAGAAACAAUACUUUGAAGAAGAGUAUUAAGGAAGGAUGCUCUUAGAAGAUGACAAAUGUUAUUGUCAUUGUAGUAAACUCUUUUCACAAUGCUACUAAUUAUCACGAUGUUGUCUCUUCACAUCUUGCUGCUGCUAGGUGUGUUUUCUUCUGUUCAGUUUUGUUCCUUAAUUAUUAUUAGCUUCCUUAUUUUCUCUCUGAUUGAAAUCUAAGUUAUUUUUGUUUAUUAUAAUAUAUGAUUUGUUAAUUUUAACCUCUUUUAUUUAGCGUUUAUUAUGUAUGUUGUAAAAGACGGUGAUUCCUCUCUAAUGCUUCAUUUUGUUCCACAAUUUGUUUUAGAGGCAAUUUUUGGUAAACCUCAAAUGUGUCAAAUAUUGCGACGUUAAAAAUGAUUUAGAUUCUAUUCACAAAUUGCACAUGUAAGUUUUGAACUGAUGUAUCUAAAAGUCCUAGCUCAACUGGCAAAAUGUCGAAAUUGUUAGGUCGGAUGCCAUGACCGGGAUUCGAACCCCGGUACCUUCACUUGUGUGUGUGAAUUUAUAAUGGCUCUGUCAUUUCGUCUAUCUACCAAAAAAAAAAAAGUUUUGAACUGAUGUGACAUUGUAUAUUUAAUGUGUGUCAGAGUAUUGAAUCUAUGUCACUAACGUUCAAGAGCAUGACAUUGUAUUUAAACCGGUUUUUAUUGCUCUUAUUAUUAGCACAUCUUAUGCUAUGAUUAUUGAAAUUUAUUUUAUAUACACCAUGAAGCUUACAAAUUCUCUAAUUUUUAUGUGUUCUUUUUUCGCGUUUAUAGUAUACUCUUGGAACCUUCUGUUAAAUUUAAUACAAUUUGAUAUAAAAAGUAUAAAUAUUUUCCCCGCACGGGUAUACACACUAGUAAAAGAGUAUGUCAAAGAUAGUAUUAGAAAGAGAAUGUUCUUACAAUUGCUUUUGUGCCCUGUACCCAACUCACCAUUUUCUUUUGUCAGAGUUAGUUCACCAUUGAAGACUUCAUUUUACAUCGUCCGAGAGAAAGAGAGAAAAAGGCUAAUCAGAAUUUUGAGACAUUUUCCCAUACAUCCACAUUUGCUUCUCACACUCGCCUAGUAUGGAAAUUGGCAUGAUAGAAUAAUUCUUAUCAAGCGCAUAGUGGAAUUAUACCAUUCAGGAUUUAUACCAGCAUGAAAGGAUCGAGAGCCUAAUAACUUUGAGUUCGAUCGGGUAAAGUUUGGUUAAGAAUUCCUUCAUGAUGGGAUAAAUAUUGAAUGAUACCCGACUUAAAAAUUGAACUCAAUUUAAAUAUCACCUCAAUCUUGACACUUAUUUUCUAUAUCCUUUAAAAUGAAUUUUUUGUUAAAAUAAAUAUAAAAGGUAAAAAAAACGUUGAGGCGUCAAAAGAUUAGAACGUGACAUUAUUGUGUUUUUAUUGGUAAUUAUCUAGAAAAGAAAAAUAAGUGAUUAAAAAAGCAAUUAGUUAUGAAAAAAAGGGUCUCAUAAGGAUUAAAAUAUCAAUGAUUUUGACGUUCAAUAAUUUAGAGAUUAGCUUUUGACAUUUUUUUAAAAAGAUCAUAAUCUAUUUUGUCUUUAUUUUUAUCAUGAUAAAAAUCAUUUUUUUCAGAAAUAAUAAAAUAAUUUAGCUUUUAUUAGGAUAGUAAAGUGGACCGUCAGCCACACAAAUCCAGUGUAUAACUUACCUACUAGACUUCUCCACACUUUUUUUAAGGAUUAAAUAAUUUAGCUUUUUUAAGGAUUAAAAUUCAGUGUAUAAAAUAAUUCUAGUUUUUCUAUUAGGAUAGUAAAGUGGACCGUCAGCCACACUUAAGCUGGGCAAAAUAACGAGACGAAAUGAACUGAAUCAAUUUAAAUAAUCAAGUCCAACACUUCGACUCAGUCUGUAAAAAAUAGAGGGCUAAACGGGCCAAUCCAACGAGUCAGGCCCAUUUUGCUACCUCUAUCUCAGCAUGUAUAUUUGAAAUAUAUGAUAAUUAUCUAAACAAAGAACAUAGCAGAUAGUAUCAAAUUAAACAUGAGAGGACGUGUGAUUUAGGCACAUCCUCUUUCCAAACAAUAUCUGAGAACCUUCUAAAGAAUAUGUUCUUGUUUCACAGUUACUUUCUAAAUAAGUAGCUAUUUCAUACAUCUCAUGACCAGGUUUUUUUUUUUUACCCCCUUACAUAUCUUCAGUGGAUUGUCAAAUACAGUCAAGUCCACAAUUUGACCGCAAUCUAUGGCUUUCUGUCUUGCUUUUCUGUUUUGUCUUUGAUUAACCUACAGUGACAAGAAAAACUGUAAGAAGUUAAAAAGGAAAACUAGAAUUACUCAAAACACAAAUCCAGUGUAUAACUUACCUACUAGACUUCUCCACAUACAAAGCAGCAUACCUUACUUGUCCAUCCAUGUACAAUUCAUCGAUAAAUUUUCGCAAUUUCAUGUUCGUUUUAAUGGACUGUAUUGUCAAUGCAACUGGAACACGCUCCAAUUGUUCCUCAAUUAAGUCAUCAAUAUUGAAAAAUUCACUGACCUCUUUACUCAUUUUCAUGUACACUUUACUAACCUUUAAACAGAAUGCAGCUGCAAAAUGCUCCGGUAUUUUCGCAGUUAAUGCAUCCAUCUCCUCUUUCAAAAAAGUAGCGCGAAUCUCGUUCUCUAUUAGGGUAAUUAUAAACAAGUCAUUAACCUUUCUCAAUGAAUCCUGAAGAGCCAUAUCGUCUUCCAAUUUGGCUGCAAUCAAUUCAUCAUUUUGCUGCAGCCACAAACAGUUUCUAGUAAGCAGUUAACAAAGUAAGAAAAACCCAUCCAUUUACAGCCAAAUUCAAGAUUACCGUUUGCUUAUUCUCUUCUACACAUUUAUCAUUUUCCUUCAAUUUAGCCCACAGCAAGAAACAUUUUUUUCAUAAGCAGAUAAAAAUGAUCAUAAACAUAUAAAUAAAACAUAUAUAUGUAUGUCACACCUUUUUCUUGGACAUCUUGGACUUCAUUUAGAGUAAAGUCUACCACAAUUAUGUUCCUGCACCCAUUAAAUAAAAAUAUUUAGAAUAAUCUGAUUUAUGCACAAUCUAUUGGAUAUCAGUUCAUGAAUCGUGAUUUUUAUAAUCAUCCACAAGAACAUCCACAGACUAAUGAAACUAAAAACACUGCAUGCUUAUACUUAAUAACCUAUUCAACAAGUGACUAACCAUGUUUAUUAGAACAAUUCAAUUAGGUCUAAGUCUAAUAACCUAAUAUCACUAACAUAUGAAUUAGUUUAUGUUAAACAAGAUCCCGGGAGCAUAGGCUUGUAUAAACAAGUGACUACUUCAAUACAGAGGGAAUUAAUCAAUAGCAGUCAUUGGCAGAGCCAGCUACUAACCAGGGGAUUCAGUUGAACCCCCUCAACUUUUAAAUUUACACCCAUUAUCCUAAAUCUAAAUAGUGAUUUGAUGACCAAAAUGAUUAAUAAAAGAGACAUUUAUGGAUGUCUUUGCACUAAUUAAAUCUAAAUAUGACAGCAGAGUAUACAAUCAGGGAUCAACUAUGAUUAAUUGCUUAACAUUGAAUCAUUGAUAAUACUUCAUCUACUGAUUUUUAAAAGUGAUACAUACUAAAAUUUACAGUUUAUCAAAUAAUAAAGUAAUUCAAGUACAAUGUAAAUUUUUGAAUAUAUAUAUAAUUUUUAAACAAAGAGAGGCAGCAAGGAAGCUACCUCCUUCAAAAUAGAGUCGUCUCUAUCAAAUUGAUAUGCCCCAAAUAAAAUAACAACACAAAAUUUUGUAAAAGAUCAAAUCUUCUAUUUAAAUUAUGGCAAUCACAUCUUCAGUAUCAUCAACAAAAUCAACAUUUUCAGCAACAAUAUCAUCUAAAUGAUCAUUUUCGGUAGCAUCAACAUUAUCCUCUAUAUUUCCAACAUAAAGAAUUCAUGAAAAUAAGUUGAAAAUAGCUUAUGAACAAUUUCAUAAGUUGUAAGUUCUCCCAAACAGUCGUCAAUCUACUCAACCGUUUAACUUUCCUGAAAUCGCGCCGCAUUGAAGGGGCGGAUACGGCAGCCAGCGAUGGAAUCGCAUACUCGCGCAACGCCGUAUCGAGAAAGCGGAAGGAAAUUCCGAACAGAAAAAGAGAGAAGGCGAAACAAACCUGGAUGAUGAUGAUGAUGAUGAUGAUUUUCGCACAACUCCAACUUGUUGUAUCUGCUACUUGUUGUUCAGAGGCCGAGCUACUGAGUUUUGUUGUUAGGGUUGGGUUUUUGUUUUUGCUUUUUGGAAUGAAUUAUUUUUAUUUUAUUUUUUUGUCAAUAGUUCAAUACCAUAAUAUUUUAAAAAAAUAAACAAAAAAAUUAUAAAUAAUAGACUUAAAUAUGUAUUUCAUCCUAGCAAUUAGGGGUAGUUUAAAAAUUGGUCCCUGUAAUCGCUAACCCUGACAAUUUACCCUUGCAUUGUUUAAUCAUUUAAAGAUUCGUCCCUCUUCCCACUUAAUCACUCCCACGUCACUAAUUUGAUGACGUGGCAAUCACUGUCACACAUGAAAUUCCAAUUUUACCCCUGAAUUUCCAAUUCUUUCUUCAAUAUUUUGUCAUCUUCUUAAGGGCAAAAUUGGAAUUUCAUGGGUGGCAGUGAUUGCCACAUCAUCAAAUUAGUGACGUGGUAGUGAUUAAGUUGGUCAAAGGACGAAAUUAAUGAUUGCAAGGUUAGUUUGCAAGGAUUAGCGAAUACAGGGAUCAAUUUUUAAACGACCCUUAAUUGCAAGGAUGAAAUACAUAUUUAAGCCUAAAUAAUAAAGGGAAAUGAUGUACAAAAAAAUAUAUAAUAGUACAGUUAAAAAAAUAAUGAAGUGUGUCCCAUGAGUAUAACUCAGUUGGUACGUGUUAAUACCAAAAAUAAAAUAUUUCGACAUGCUGCAAAGUGCAAAGAAAUUUCGAUCAAGACUUCGACAUACCGCAAUUUCGAUCAAGUGAUUUAAUGUGUUGCAUGCAUAUGGUUUUUGACCAAAGAUAAGGAGAAAUAAUAUGAAGUUACAAUUGGAAUGGAUGGAAAUUAUUUUCCAAUGCCUUGUAAUUAUGUCAAGUGUAGGAAGUUAUUUCUACUUUUAAUUUAGAUCGUGUAUAUAUAUAUAUAUAUAUAUAUAUAUAUAUAUAUAUAUAUAUAUAUAUAUAUAUAUAUAUAUAUAUAUAUAUAUGAAUAAGAGGCGAAAUCCUUGAUUUCUGAAAGCUCUGUAACACCCACGUCGUGGGAGCAAACGGGUUAAGGAGUGGUGGACAAAUUGACAAAUUUCAGCCAUCAUUAUAUUCCCCACAAUUUAAUUACUUUAUUAUUGGUUUAUUUUCCAUUUUUCUUUACUGCAUUAUGCACUUUUCCUUUCAUUUUCAUUCUUCUUCUUUCUUUUGAAUGCUCAUUUGAGUGUUAUUUCUUUUAAGUUGUCAUUUGAUAGUUUGUUUUAUUAAAGUUGUUGGAAGCAAUUCUAACAUUAAUAAGAACAAUUUGAUUUGUUCUCAACAAACACAUAAGAAAAGAGAUCAUAAAUCGCUAAACCCAAAGAACUCCAAAAAGGACUUCAAUUCAGUCCUUAACUAUUUUUUGAUUAUAUUGUUUGUAUUACCAAAAAUCAUUAUAAAUAAAUUGGCGCUAGAAAGAUGAGAUUUUCCAGUUUUAGCGUAGAUCUAAUGCUUUGUGUUUGAAAAGUGGUGGAACAAAGUAACUAUAUUUUGUGUUGAUUUUGAGAGAAUGAAAAGAGAGAAAGAGAAGAAGUAGAGAAUUAUUGUUGUAAACUGAUGAAAAGUGAUUACAACGUGCCUUAUAUAAGAGGCUUAUUCACAUUGCUUGCUUAGUAAACUAUCUAAACAAACAUAACAAACUUAGUUAGAUUACAUAACUUACUUGUAACAAACUUUUAUACCCCAAGUGAUUACUACAUGCCUUAUAUAAGAGGCUUAUUCACAUUGCUUGCUUAGCAAACUAUCUAACCAAACGUAACAAACUUAGCUAGAUUACCUAACUAACUUGUAACAAACUUUUAUGCCCCAACGGGUAUAUAGUCUAAUACAAACUUGAAUUAACGCAUUCCAACACUCUUCCUUAAUUCAUGUUUGCUGAAUCCACCAUGCCCAUCAUUCUUCUAAGUCUUUCAAAUGUCACUAUCUUCAAUGGCUUAGUCAUUGCAUCUGCAAUCUGCAUCUCAGUCUUGCAAUGCUCCAGAAUCAGCUUUCCUUUGGUAACUUGAUCCCUGAGGAAGUGAAACCUUGCUUCUAUGUGUUUACUUAUUCCAUGUGACACAAGGUGCUUUCCUAACUUUAUUGUAGAUUGGUUAUCAACCUUUAGUGUCACUGCUUCUUCCUUUCCUUCUUCAUUGAUGCUUAGUCAGUCAUCAAUGCAUCUAGCUAAGCAGCCCGACAAGCACUCAUUGCAACGACAAUGUAUUCAGACUCACAAGUAGAUAGAGCAACCACUAAUAUCCUGCAGUACUCUUCUUAUCAUCUUUAUCACCACACCAGUCUGCAUCUGGGUAUCCAACCAACUUAGCAACUGAAUCAUCUUUCAGAGUUGGAAGUAGUAUGCCCCAACUUAGUUUUCCUUUCACAUAUCUCAUUACCCUUUUUGUAGCUAAUAGAUGAGAAACCUUAGGAUUUUGCAUAUAUCUGCUUAUCAUUCCAACUGAGAAUGCUAAGUCUGGCCUUGUGCUGCAAAGCUACCUCGAUGAUCCUACCAUACCUCUAUACAUUGUAGCAUCUACUUCAUCUUCAAUUCUAUCUUUCCCAAGAUUUGCACCAAUUUCACUAGGAGUUUUUGCUAAGUUAUGCUCCAUCAUGUUGAAUUUUCUUAAUACACCACCGCAUAUUUGCUUUGAUGUUUGUAAUACACUAGGUAGCUGCGAAGGGAUUGCACAAAGUUUUUAUUUUUUCUCUUCUAAAUUGGAUGCAAUAGGUGAAGGAUCUAAACAUUUCCAUGGGAUAUUGAAGGCAAUCAUGAUGAUCAAUGAAGGAAAAGGCAAGACGGUGGAUGAUCUUUGCUUAAUGUUGAAGGUGAUGAACAAUAGUUGUUCUCUAGGUUUUUCCAUAUAUCACUAUCAUUGUAAUUCAUUUUCAGUAAAGUUGGAUUUUCAUACUUUCUAAUCGAUUAUUUUGAUUCCAUUAGAUUGUGUCAGAUUUCUAUAUUCUAUGUUGAUUAUUUUGAUUCUUUUUAAUUAUAGUCUGAUUUCUAUAUUUUUUUUUUUUAAAAAUUCGUUGAUUUGAUUUCCACGUCCUUAAUGAAUUGGUUUUUAGAACACAAAAUUUGCUGGAAUCUAAUAAAAUUGUAGUUUUGGAACUUCAGAUGACUUCGAACGGCUAAAUUCGAGUCAAUCCGACAUCAGAUAUCAAAUCUACACUAUUCCAAGUGAGCAUUUCUUGCGCGCCACUUCAUCUUCUAUACGCACCACCAAUUUACCUACAUCACUUUCUCUAACGAUCACCCUUUUAUUUCACAUGAGUUCCACACAUUGAAAAUAUGGAUUCCACAUAAAGUGGUGAGACUCAUAUAAAUUUUACCGAGUAGAAAAGUGACUCUUAGAGAAAGUGCUAGAAAUAGAGUGUUCGUAACAUUUCUCCUCCCUCCAAUCAUAUUUUUAAAUACAUAAUAUAUGCAAGGUCUGGGGUUCAAAACCCCGACCACCAAAAAAGACAUUUUAGUUAACAAAAAUUUAUUUUUCUAGUUUAAAAUUUGGUCAUGAUAAAUUAAUUUUUGUUGACCCAAAUGUUUUUAAUUUAUCCUAGAAUCGUAGAAUCUAAUGAAAAUUGUUGUAUACACAUCUUGUUAGGCUGAGAAACACAUGUAAAAGAUGAAAUUGCCCAUCGACAAUUAACUGCCGAGGAAUUCAAAAAUCGGUUGCAGUUAACUGCUGAGUAAAACCUCGGUAGUUAACGGUUGGGGAAAACAAUUAUGCAGACAGUGGGUUCUGCAUAAUUCUAAAGCAUUUCCAAGCCAUUUAUCGGACAGUUUUUACCUGUAAUUAAACCAGAACAUUUCCAAAGAUAAUAUAACUCAGAAAACAUUUAAACUCAAUCAUAAGCAAGAAAAAUACAAUAUUUUUUAGGCUUAAUUGCACUUUUGGACCCCUAUCUUUCCAAAAGUUGCAGUUAUGGAUCCCUAACUAAUUUAAAUACAAAACAGCCCCCUAUGUUUUGAUUCUUUGACAGUUUUGGACCCCCAGUCCAUUGUUGACUCGGUCAACGCUGACGUGGCACCCUAAGUGAGGUGUCAUGUGUCAAAUUUUUUAUUUAUUUUUUGCCUUGGGGGUCCAAAACUGCCAAAGAAUCAAAACAUAAGGGGCUGUUUUGUAUUUAAAUUAGUUAGGGGUCCAUAACCGCAACUUUUGGAAAGAUAGGGGUCCAAAAGUGCAAUUAAGCCUAUUUUUUACAAUUGUCCAUAAUUAAAUCAAACCGACAUUUGGUUCAAAAUACACAAAAGUUUGAAAUUCAUCAAAACGUUACAUAGUGUCCAUAAUUAAACAACACAUUACAACUCAUUACAUAUCAUUAAAUUAAAUCCCUACUUACAUUCAACACAAUUGCAUAUGGAACGAACAUACAUAUAUAAUAUAUUAUUUUCCAUCAUAUUCCGAAACAUAAAUGCAACGUCGCUAUCGUCUUCAAUAAGUCAAGGCAUAUAUAGCUUGUCGUUUUCCAUGUGUAUUCAUCUCUAUCUUCUCCUAGGUCUAUGCAUGGCAUUUGACCAAACAAGUGACAUGUAUAUUGAUUUCACAAAGAUGCUGAAAAUAAGUGUUAAGUUGUGCCUUCAAAUCAUCAAGAGAGUCGGUCGACGUUAUUAUAACCUUAACCGUCUUUUUAAAAGUGGAGUAUCUAACACGGCCUUCAAUUUUUUCAACCUCGGACGUGAUUCACUUCACAAAAGCUUUAUGAAAUAAAAUCAUACAUUAUGAUGUAAUUAAACGAAACGUAAUAAUCAAUAAAAUGUACAUAAAAUGCGCAAACAUAAAUGCGUAAACAUUAUGUAUGCACUAGUUUCACAACAUAAAAGUCAUAUUAUCAUAUAUUUAUAUAAAUUACAUAAUGUUACUUAUAUACUGGGCACAAAAAAUUAGCGUUACAAUUUCGACCCCAAAAUAUAUGUCGGUGUAAUUUCUACCAAAAAAAAGGACUAACACCGACAAAAAAAUCCCUCAUUAAAGACCAAGUGAUUGGGGAAGAUCAAAUGAAAUAGAAUCUUCCUCAUCUUCCGCAAUAACUUCAAAUUGUUGCUUUGGUUUUUCGGGAGUGUCCAACAAAAUAGGUGUCGCUUUGUUUGACUCAUUUUGUGGUUGCGGCGGUUUGUUUCCACUUUCAAUAAUCAUGAGUUUUCGGAACAACUCAUGUUGAUCCAAAUACUCAUCUUCCCAAGUCACCGCAUCUUCUUUCUUGUGAUUGUGCCACUCCGUUGAUGAUGGAGGUAGUGAACAACCAUUCUUCAAAUAAAUAAGCAUGAAAUGAUUCGGAAUUACCCCAAGGCACAUGAUGUGAAUUUUUCGCUUUCCCGACGGUGGUGGCCCUCUUAGUGGGAAAAAAGAUUCUGAUUUUCCAACUUCAAGAUUUGUCAACAUAACCACACACCUUUUGUAAUAAUUAGCAACAAUGUGUCUCAUGUCCGAAAAAGUCAACCACUUAUCAACAAGAUGUGCACAACCUUUCAUAUUUGCGGGAGGAUGUAAGCCAUAUAAAAUGUAGUUAUAACGAUCCUCACCCGCAAAUACUUCAACAUAAUUAAUCAUCUCUAUGAUCUUUCAACUCUUGAAUAAGAUGUGUACGGAUCAUGAUAUGACUUUGUCCAGUCAAUCCCAUGAACUCGGCUAUAGCCCGAAAUCCACAAUGUCCAUCGCCAAUAACAUCCACCACUUUUUCAAUAAAUGGAAGCAUGAACCGUGGCAUAUAAUCAAUAAGCCUCGUAACCGGAAUAGCCUUAGGCUUUGGAUACCGAGAAGGUGGUGGAAGUGGGGAAAGUGAUGUUUUACUAAGACGAGCACAUUUUUUUCUUUUAUAUGAUGAAGCUGUUGGUGAUGAUGACGGUUGACUAUCCGGAGUUUUGGAAUCAACAACCUCCCACGAAGAAGGUAUUUGACUAGUUGAUGUAAUUUUUCCUUUUGCCGAAGUUCCUAUAACUCGGCACUAAACUGUCGAGGAUUCCCAUGAUAGUGAGAACGUAAACUCACGUAAAAAACUACAAAAACAGCUAAAAAUCAACCGAUUAAAAUGCUUAAUACUGUUCUUUUUUUUACGUCAAAAGUGUGUUGAUAUCUCCUAUGUUUGAUGCUUCAAUGAUUUUGGAGCUAAGAUUUGAAGGUAAAAAAUAUUGGAUUUGGGGAUUAGAUGGAAGUGGUAUGGAAGUUGAUGAUGAAAAGUGUGUAGGGGAGCAAGUGGCUGUUUCAUCUGAUGAAACAUUUUUCUCGACAGUUAGCUGCCAAGAAAACCUGGACAGUUAACUGCAGCCGGUUUUUGAAUUUCUCGACAGUUAACUACCAAUGUGCAGUUUCGUAUUUUACUCGUGUGUCUCAGCGUUAUGAUAUGUGUCAACAACAAUUUUCGAAUUGAGUAGUUCCUUGUAAAAUAAAAAAACUGAUGAUAAUAGUUAUCUUAAUCUUUCUUUCAACCGAAUCGUAGACUACCUAGCUUUCCAAUGUGUAAGGGGAGGUGUGCUUUGAGGAACAACCACGCACAGUCAGUGCUCAAGCGACGGGGGAAGUCGAUGCGCUUCCAGUGCCUUAAUCCCUUACCAGGUUCUCCGUAUUCUCUUUCUUCUUACAUCCCAUCUUAGGCUACUUGAAUAAAUUUGAACUUAUGUUUGUCAAUGUAACUGAUUUUAUAUUUUUGUUACUCGUAACUUCUCUGCAUUUUUUAUUUUUUUUUUGUCUUGGAAGAAGUGGUAAUCCACUAAAAUUAAACUCAUCCACAACUGUGAGGUCUCGGAUUCGAACCCGGGUCACGACGUCGUGCCUUGCAAUUUCAUCAUUUAAUGAUACAUUACAUUGGUAAAGAAUUACUUGUUCACUAUGACUAUUAUUAUGACAAUCUAGGUUUGUUUGGUAAAAAAAUAGCCGAUAGUUGAUACACUAGCUUAUAGCAGAUGAUUUAUAAGUUAGCAAUUGAAUUUGUAGUGUUUGGUAAAUUAGUUGUUCAAGUAGCUUAUAAAUAUGAAAUGACAUAAAAAAGUAAGCAUUUAAUUAAUAUUUAUUUUUUAAAUUAAGAUUGCAGGGGUAAAAUAAAGAUAAAAAAUGAUAAGCUAUAAGCUACUUGAAUUAGCUUAUCAAAAACCGCUAUAAGCUCAAGAAAAUAAGAUAUAAGCUUGUGUAAAAAUGACAAUUAGCAAACAGGUCUCUUUUAAUCAUAUGAGCUGAUAAGGUAUAAGCCAUAAGCUCAAUUUUAUGUUUUACCAAACAUUCACAUAACAAUUGUUAACUUAUCCUUGAUAUUUAAAUUUACUAGAAAAAUAAAAUGGUAGGAAAGCCUCGAGUUCAUGAUUUAACGGUCAGGUAUGGUCAUGAGAGUCCUAGUAGCAUCAUGAGCUCAAGGCUUGUAAUAAUCACAUCACAUUGAUACUAGAACUCUAGAAUACUAACACUAUCAGAACCCAAAUCAAAGUAGAUGAGAAAAGUAGGGUUAUCUUAAAAUUUCCAAGUUCAUUAUGUUCCGUUUGACAGUCUCGAGAGGAGGAAAUGAGAGGGCUUUGGGGUGGGGAGGGGAGGGAAAGAGAAAAAUCUCACAGUUUAUUUGAAAAGGAAAUGCUUAUGUUUAAUGUAUUUUAUUUAGUUUUAUUUUUGAGAGUAUUAUAAAAAGAUGGAAGUGAUUUGAAUAUUUUUUAAGCUCUUUAAAGUCCUCUUGCAGUACAUUUUUUGAGUUCUCCAAUAUUAGGGGGAAUUUGUAUUAUGAAGAGAAGUAAACCUCAUAUUCAAGUGUGUGGAAUAUCCUCUUUCCCCUUCCCUUUUCCCAAAGUCCUUCCAUACAGAGUCUAAUAUGUUUAUUGGAUCCUUGGACACUGUACAGUUGCUAGAUAAUGGCUAGGGUUUGUUGUAUUAUAGAAUGUUGCACUUAUUUUUCAAUAGUAUAAUGGCGGAGAUUAUAACCACCAUUUUAUACCAUAUGUAUUGUGGCGCUCUAUAGUAAACUGCCCGUCGCUUAUAAUUAACGGCAGCAGGGUUUGUGGCAUUCUGGUAAACAACCACUCGUAAAAAAACGCUACUAAAAUUGCCAUUAUUUGCAAAACAAACCUCCAUUUUUACAUGUCUGAUUUGAUUUGUGAGACUUGUAAUAUUUUGUUCUGGUUCUAAGGGUAGAAUUCAGAUUACAUGCCUCUCUUAUUGAAUGAUCUAAAUGCUAUAAUUUCAUUUAUUUAUUUUAACUAAAGUGGUAAAAUGAAGAUACACUGCAUAAUAAUGAUGCUGGCUGUUGUGGAAAAUACGUUAGGAAAUUGUGUAAUGCAAUUUGAUCUCGUCUUGGUUGGUGUCAUUAUGGGUGAUGAUUUUGGUUGUAAACUUUUAUGCACACUUUUGCUCAUUAUUAAUAUACUCCCUUUUGUUCUUGCAAAACAAAACCUGAUCAAAUCAAUGAUUCAAAUUGCAUUAGUUAGUGAUAAGUAUAAGCAAAUUUUGACAUUUAACUAUGUUUGUAUCCAUCUUUAUUCGCAUAGUUUGUGCUUGAUUCUUGUGAUUUCAAUUAUAUUCAUGAUCGUUCACACUCAUACACUGUAUGCAUAUAGUAGAAGUUCUAUUGUUUUUAGUCAUAGCAAACAAACUAAUAUGUUACUCAUUAUUCAAUCAAAACUGUGUAAUUCUUGAGAACAUAGCAUCCAAGGAGAGAAUACUAAACUCAUCAUUUUAUUGGUAUGUAAUACUGGUACAAUUGUCGUAUGUAGGUUUAAUUAAUUCCUUAAAAUUUCAUUAAUCAUACUACUGGUGGUCUAUUCAUUUGGUCUGCUAUACUGCUAUUUAUUUGGAUUCAUCAAUGUAUAUUAUCUUGUGCAUUCACUAGAUUCAAAUAAUCAAAUAAUAUUAUUUGGUAUCUAAUUUUGAGCCGAUUUUAGUGAUAAGAAGGUAAAAACGAACAAAAAAAAUAUUUUCUUAAAAACAACUAAAGGAGAAAAAUAAAUACAAACUUAUGAAUUAACACCAUGCAUGCACAGAUGCAUUUGAAUCAAAAUAAGGCUCUUAAUUCACUGUAAAGCAUAGACUUUUUUAUUAACAAAAGAUUGAAUACAAAUUAACCACAACAAUGCUGAAUAUAAUUCAUUGAAAUUUUUUCAAAUAAUAGCCGGAAGCUUAAUAGAUGGGAGGCGGGGGUGAGUUGUAGAGGUAGGGAUGAUAUGGAGGAGGUGAUGGAGAUGGUGGAGGUGGAGACUUGUAAAUAUAAGGAGGCGGUGGUGAAGGCGAAGGAGGUGGCGGUGACUUAUAGCCAUAUGGUGGAGGAGGUGAUGGAGAAGGUGGAGGUGGAGAUUUGUAGUAGUAUGGAGGAGGUGGUGAAGCUGAAGGAGGUGGAGGUGACUUAUAGACAUAGGGUGGAGGGGGUGAAGGAGAUGGUGGGGGAGGAGAUUUGUAAACAUAUGGAGGAGGGGGUGAAGGAGAAGGAGGAGGAGGGGACUUAUAGACAUAUGGAGGUGGUGGUGAAGGGGAUGGUGGUGGUGGUGACUUGUAGAUAUAUGGAGGCGGUGGUGAAGGAGAUGGUGGAGGAGGAGAUUUAUAAACGUAUGGAGGUGGUGGGGAUGGAGACGGUGGAGGUGGUGACUUGUAAACAUAUGGUGGGGGAGGAGAGGGAGAUGGAGGUGGUGGCGACUUAUAAAUAUAGGGUGGAGGAGGAGAAGGUGAUGGUGGGGGUGGGGACUUGUAAACAUAUGGAGGAGGAGGGGAAGGGGAAGGAGGUGGUGGUGACUUAUAUACAUAUGGUGGAGGGGGUGAAGGUGAUGGUGGGGGUGGAGAUUUGUAGACAUAUGGAGGUGGUGGAGAUGGGGAUGGUGGAGGUGGUGACUUGUAGACAUAUGGUGGAGGGGGGGAUGGAGAUGGGGGUGGUGGUGAUUUAUAUACAUAUGGUGGGGGAGGGGAGGGUGAUGGUGGAGGAGGAGACUUGUAUAUAUAUGGUGGAGGGGGUGAUGGGGAUGGUGGUGGUGGGGACUUGUAAAUAUAUGGAGGUGGUGGAGAUGGGGAUGGUGGUGGUGGUGACUUGUAGACAUAUGGAGGAGGAGGUGAAGGGGAUGGAGGUGGUGGUGACUUGUAAACAUAAGGUGGGGGAGGUGAGGGUGAUGGUGGAGGAGGAGACUUGUAGACAUAUGGAGGUGGUGGUGAUGGAGAGGGUGGUGGUGGACUCUUAUAGACAUAUGGUGGGGGAGGUGAAGGAGAUGGAGGAGGUGGUGACUUGUAGACAUAUGGAGGAGGAGGAGAGGGAGAUGGAGGUGGUGGGGACUUGUACACAUACGGAGGAGGUGGUGAGGGAGAUGGUGGAGGUGGAGAUUUGUAGUAAUAAGGUGGGUAUUUGUGGACAUAUGGAGGUGGUGGCGAUGGAGAAGGUGGAGGUGGGGAUUUGUAGUAAUAUGGAGGUGAUUUGAAAUAAUAUGGUGGCUGUUGUCCAUGACUUGGUGGUGUUGGUUGCGGAUAGUUGUUGUUUGGUUGGCCGCCAUAGUAAGGCUUAUAAUCAUCAGCAGCGACACUGCUUGCAAUUACGCAAAAUGCUAUUGCGUAGAUGAGUUGAGGCAAAUGCCUCAACCCAAAUGAG
rnacentral:lncRNA from 1 species